GCCCUGGUAGCUCAGCCUGGUGGAGCGACCGCUUGGUACGCCGACGUCCGGGGUUCAAAGCCCCGCCAGGGCU
rnacentral:tRNA from 1 species